GUCCAGGAAGGAGUUAACCUCCGAGGAGAACGCGGGCUUGUCCCCAGCCUGAGGCCGGUGCCCAGCUUAGCUGCUGCCAACUCGGGGGAGAAGCCCUGGGAUCUGUAGUCUGUGCCACCACCCAGCCCUGGCCGGCCUGUUUAUCAGCACCGGCUGGUAGACUACAGUUCCCAGCAAGCUACAGAGGCUCCUCUUUGGGGGAAGGGGUGGGUGUGAGGCUUGGUGGCGGCGGGAGAGCGGGAGCGGGAGGAGGUGGGGAGAGCAGCCCAAUUCACCCCCUUCCUUUUUAAUUCUUUCUCCUGGUGUGUCUGCUCCACCGCCCGAGCUAAUCCCCCAAAUCCGGUCUCCUAAGCCGCAGCUGCUUCCCCGCGCCGUGAUGAAUGGCUCGGGGAGGGAAGGUGUCCUGGCUUGCCCUGCUGCCCACCACGAUGGAGGACACGGCCCAGACCCCUGUCUCCAAGGAGGCACCACGGUCUGUGAGCCCGGAGCCCCGCUUCCUCCCCUCCUCCCUAUCACAGAAGUCCCCGUGCCAUCUCUGACCCACUGCCCCAUUUUUGCCCCAGGCAUUAGGGUGGGAGGACCCCUGGAGAGAGUGCCACGGAGAGAAGUGGGGUGAGGGCCCAGGGAAAGGGGGAGCUGGGGAGCACCGGGCAGUCCAGGAGGGCCAGUGCUCUGGCUUGAUCUCAGCUCCCACCUCGCUGGCCUGGCAGAGGAGCCCUGCAGUCCCCAGACCCCAGACCAUCUUGCACCUAGCUGGGGCCCAGCCAGAGGGGAGGAUGGGGAGGCAGCCAGGGCCAACAGCUUGCGGCGGAUGCGGCCAACUGUGGGACUGCGGGAGGUUUGUCCAGCGUCCACCCCCUCGCCUUCUAUUCUGGGUUCCUGGGGGCAGCUUUGCCAUUGCUUAGCCCCUGCAGGACUGUGGGCCUGAAAUGGGAGGUGGGAGGGUGGGGGAGUGGGAGGGGAGUUCCCAUCUGGAGCGCAGAGAAGUGGGGGUGUCCCCAGGCUCUAGUCCAGACCCUCCCACACAGAUAGACACAGCAGGGGAGGGUCACUGGGGCCUGGCUUCUCCGGGGAGCCUCCAGCUGGUGCUGGACUGAGCUGCCAAGUGUGUGGGGUACAGGCUGGGGAGGCAGUGGUGAGAACUGGCAGAGACCACAGCCCAAGGUACCUGCUGGGGGGGUUGGGGGAGGCAAGGCACUGUAAGCAGGACUGGGGUCUCUCCACUGCAGGGGCCGGCCCGGCCUCCUGUGAGCCCCCCACAGAGCUCAGGCUGGCUGUGCUCUGCACAGGGGUGACCCUCUCAGGUCCUGCCUUGGGAACUGGGACCCAGGAACCCCACUGAGGUUGUCCCUGCCCCCAGGACUCACCUGGGAGAGAGAUUGCAGCGCCUAGCCCGGCUCCUGCAGGUCCUGGUUCCCCUUAUCCAUACCCCUGCCCUGCCUUCCUUACAGAAGUGGGCCGGUCAGAAAAGUCUGAUUUUCCCCACCUCUCUCAAAGCACCCCAGGGAAGAGGCUUAGAGAAGAGGACCCACGUGCCCUGGGCUCUGGGGCCCUUAGCUACGCCCAGGCCUGGGUGGUCAGGGCCCCUUGCCCGGUUUGUAUUCCUUGUGAUCCCC
ensembl:lncRNA